CUACGGGGCGCUGCAGUCGAGAAUCUUCCGCAAUGGGCGCAAGCCUGACGGAGCAAUGCCGCGUGAGGGACGACGGCCCUAGGGUUGUAAACCUCUGUCAGAAGGGACGAAGAACGUGACGGUACCUUCAGAGGAAGCCAUGGCUAACUACGUGCCAGCAGCCGCGGUAAUACGUAGAUGGCGAGCGUUAUUCGGAUUUACUGGGCGUAAAGGGCCCGUAGGGGGUCUGCCAAGUCUGAUGUGAAAUCCUGCGGCUCAACCGCGGAACUGCAUUGGAAACUGGCGGACUAGAGUGUGCGAGGGGUGAGCGGAAUUCCUGGUGUAGCGGUGGAAUGCGUAGAUAUCAGGAAGAACACCGAUGGCGAAGGCGGCUCACUGGCGCAUCACUGACCCUGAGGGACGAAAGCGUGGGUAGCAAACAGGAUUAGAUACCCGGGUAGUC
rnacentral:rRNA from 1 species